rnacentral:rRNA from 1 species
GAUGAACGCUGGCGGCGUGCCUAAUACAUGCAAGUCGAGCGAACAGACGAGAGUGCUUGCACUCUCUGACGUUAGCGGCGGACGGGUGAGUAACACGUGGGUAACCUACCUAUAAGACUGGGAUAACUUCGGGAAACCGGAGCUAAUACCGGAUAAUAUUUAGCUUCGCAUGAAGCAAUAGUGAAAGACGGUUCUGCUGUCACUUAUAGAUGGACCCGCGGUGUAUUAGCUAGAUGGUGAGGUAACGGCUCACCAAGGCAACGAUACAUAGCCGACCUGAGAGGGUGAUCGGCCACACUGGGACUGAGACACGGCCCAGACUCCUACGGGAGGCAGCAGUAGGGAAUCUUCCGCAAUGGACGAAAGUCUGACGGAGCAAUGCCGCGUGAGUGAAGAAGGUUUUCGGAUCGUAAAACUCUGUUGUAAGGGAAGAACAAGUACGUUAGUAACUGAACGUACCUUGACGGUACCUUACCAGAAAGCCACGGCUAACUACGUG